GGAAGCUGAUUGUUUUGUGUGUAUGUUUCCGACACACAACUCAUUGAAUAACCAUGGCUGGACAUGAUCAAUGUGGAUUGGAGGCAUCGAAAGGUAACUUCCUGGGGCUUUCUAGAAAUUGACAAGCAACAUACCUGGAAUCCAGCAGCACACUCUGACAAGGGAGAAUAACAUUGAACCAACAACAGGCUGAGAGUUGAUGGAUAAGUCACAGGAGGCUGCUGAGGGGAGGAUAGCUCAUAAUAAUGACUGGAACAGAAUGAGGGCGAUUGCCAACGUUGAGGACAUUGCAUUCCAUUCAAACAUACCUGUGGCGGCGGACAUAACAGUAGCCAUAGUGUAUGCUGUGUUUGGUAAGUGAGCUCUCUCUUCAAAAAAGGGUUCACUUACACCCCCCCCCCCCCCCACAUGUGAAUGUAGGCAGAGAGGAGAGGAUGAAGCAUGUUGCUGACCUGUAACAUGAUGAUCAACUCUCUGUCAGUUCUCAGCAUGACGCCAGACUACACACUGGGACUUAACCUGGGAGUGUGUG
rnacentral:lncRNA from 1 species